rnacentral:rRNA from 1 species
GAUCCUGGCUCAGGAUGAACGCUAGCUACAGGUUUAACACAUGCAAGUCGAGGGGCAGCAUGGUCUUAGCUUGCUAAGGCCGAUGGCGACCGGCGCACGGGUGAGUAACGCGUAUCCAACCUGCCUUACACUCUUGGACAGCCUUCUGAAAGGGAGAUUAAUACAAGAUGUUAUCAUGAGUAAGCAUUUUCGCAUGAUUAAAGGUUUACCGGCGUAAGAUGGGGAUGCGUUCCAUUAG